AUUGAACGCUGGCGGCAUGCCUUACACAUGCAAGUCGAACGGUAACAGGUCUUCGGAUGCUGACGAGUGGCGAACGGGUGAGUAAUACAUCGGAACGUGACCGAGAGUGGGGGAUAACGAGGAGAAAGCUUUGCUAAUACCGCAUACGAUCUCAGGAUGAAAGCAGGGGACCGCAAGGCCUUGCGCUCACGGAGCGGCCGAUGGCAGAUUAGGUAGUUGGUAGGAUAAAAGCUUACCAAGCCGACGAUCUGUAGCUGGUCUGAGAGGACGACCAGCCACACUGGGACUGAGACACGGCCCAGACUCCUACGGGAGGCAGCAAUGGGGAAUUUUGGAAAAUGGGCGCAAGCCUGAUCCUGCCAUUCCGCGUGCAGGAUGAAGGCCUUCGGGUUGUAAACUGCUUUUGUACGGAACGAAAAGACUCUGGUUAAUACCUGGGGUCCAUGACGGUACCGUAAGAAUAAGCACCGGCUAACUACGUGCCAGCCGCCACGGUAAGAC
rnacentral:rRNA from 1 species